UAGCCAAAUAAGGGCCAAAUUGCUUUCCGACUUAAAUUUAAAGGCAUAUUGGUUGACCGUGUAGUGUUAAUGUGCUACAUGAAGUCAGAAUUCAAUGCCAGGGACUCCGUGAUCCAGUAACGCAUCGAUAGCUUGUGCGUAAAGCAUGAACAUUCAAACAGAGCCCCAUUUCACCGACAUAGAAUGGCAGACAUUUUUACAGUAUGGACAGUGCAGCAGAUGCUUAACUGAGCCAGUUUUCAUAUUUAGUACAAUCAUGAAUAUAACAAGCUAUAUCACUUCAUAUUAUUCAUAGAAAUACACUUAAAAUACAUAAAUGAAUGUUUGUUUUUCAUUUUAUAUCUAUUUCUUUUGGGUAUUUUGACUUUUUCAGGUAGAGGAAUGUCUGCGACUAAGCCGAGGGCCACUGGAUAAGGGAUGUUGAUGGCAAAACAGGUAGAGGAAUGUCUGCGACUAAGCCGAAGGCCACUGGAUAAGGGAUGUUGAUGGCAAAACAGGUAGAGGAAUGUCUGCGACUAAGCCGAAGGCCACUGGAUAAGGGAUGUUGAUGGCAAAACAGGUAAUAAUACUAAAUUACUAUCAUGUACACAAGCAAAUAAGCAUAUUCAUGAUGCUUAAGGUGUGAAAUAAUGUCAUAAUCAGGUUUGUGGUCACUGAAACCCUUGCCGUCGUGCAAUUCCCUGUGCAAUUUGUAUCGAUAGUUCCGCGUCCUGACACGUAAAGCUCGUGCUUUGUUGGCAGAUGAAGUUGGCACUGAACAGGUUUAGCCUUGUUCCUGAGCAUUCAUGCAGUACAGCUGAGUUGAUUUGCUACUUGUAACCCUACAAUUAGCUUGUGUUUGGUAUUGUUUUCUCACAAUAUGCUUACAGUCAUAGUUCCGGCUUGAAAGGAUGUCGCGUCCGACUUAAACAUAGAAUUGUUGUAGCAAGUGUCCCCUUCAUAAUUUACCUUAUAGGGAUCUUUUUGCCAAAAUGUGUCACUUUCAGCAACCAGUUGUUGUUUUUUCGGUACAUGCUUGUCUCAUUCAGUGAUUUAAGGGAAGUAUUGACCUUAUUCACUUGUCUUUGCAUACAAAGGUGACAUGGAUCAAUGAUAUUUGUUGUGUUGAGAAUUCUGCGGGAAGCUGUGUCCCCAGAAGAAGUACUAGAAACUGCUUUCAGGAAGCCUGCAUUGCUCUUAGCUGCCUUUCUGCCCCUGAUACUACAUGAAACCUCAAUUCUAAGCUUAUAAUGCUUUUCUACAUAUAUGCAUCUUGUUCAUUUUAACCUUGCCUUCCAGUCUAACCCCCAAAAGGAGCAUUUUUUUUCAUUCGCUCGGUUAGGAACACCCAUUUUGAUCAGAUUGCCACCAUAAAAAUAGUCAAAAGUACUUAUUUUGUGCCCAAAAUAUGAAAUUUUGUAUUCUCUUGAACCUCUAGAUGAGAGCUGGCUGUGCAUAUUGACCUUCUGCUGCAGUUUAAAGGCACCCAUUGCAUUAUAUGCUAGAAUAUAUCAUUGGUGUCGUUUAAAUAAAUGGGCUCCGAGCGACAAGGCGCUUUCAAGAUUUCACACUUUUAUUGGUGCGAAACAACAAGUUAUUGGAAACUUAUUGAUUUCUACACUUUAAAGUAUCUUUGAUCUCUCAUUUUUACUAAUUUGUUUAUUGUCUUGGAUGAAAUUGGAUAUUUUUGGCUUUGAAAUUGACAUUUUUGGGGUGAUUAAAAAAACACACACACAAAAAGACGUUAUCAAAAUUGCUUAGAGUGAAACUAUCUAGCAAAUUCAUUCUUUCCCCACCCCGCAUAAGCCCCAUGUGCCUGUCCAUUUGGUUUGUUUUGGUAUUUUGUUGCAGAUAUUGAACACAAGAGCUUUAAAUCUUAAAGGGACAUUUAGGCUUUAACAGGCCUAAAAUCGCCUUCUUCGGACC